GCCGCCGCCGCAGCAGGAGAGGGGAGUCCUAUCCGGCUUCAGGAAAAAAGCAGCAGCCAGCCAGCCGUAGAAGCUGGCAGGCACCUUUUUCCUGCCCCUCUGAAGCGGGGAAGCGCGCUACUGGAGGGAUGAGUCCCAGAGAGCCCCCGCUGGGGGCAUGGCUAAAGUACCCAGCCUCCUGGCAGCCCAGCGGAGGGGAAAGGAGGAGAAGGAGGUGGCGGCGGCGGGAGUCCCGGGCCGCCCUCCCUGCACGGGGCGAGGAGGAGGAAGCAAGAGUGAGGACCGAGCGUGGGGAAAAAGAGCGGGUGGAUCUUCCUGGCACGGACUCGUGGAGAAGAGGUGACGGCGAGAGGUCCUGUCUGGCGCUGGAGCGCCAGACUCAGUGUAUUCAAAGGGAGGAGGUCCCUGCGUGUGGAUCCGCCGAAAAGAUAAACGGAGGGAGAGAGUUCUUGUAGAAAAAAAACAGAAAUGAGGGAGAGUGAUCACAAGUCCAGUAAAGGGAAAAGGAGUACAGCAAGAGCAUCAGAAGCUACCACACUCACCUGGUACAGACUUUGGUUUCCUGAAGAUAUCUCCUCCUCUCUAUAUAUUAAAUGCUGACAGAUUCUGGAUGAGGAGGAACAGGAGACAACACUCAAGUCCAGAAGUUAGCAGCUGUUUUCAACCCUAGGAAUGUAUUUCCCAAGUUCUUACUAUUAGAAAAAGAGGAAUGCAAGCACACAUGCAAGGAGAAAACAGCCAGAUACAAAGUGGAGGUACAGGAUCCUCCCAGCAUCAGGAAGCUGCUACAGUAGAGGAAGGAGUGGAGCCCAUCAAUUUAUGGAGACAACUAGAAACUCCAGACUAUUUCAUAGUUGCUGUUUCAGAUUUGCAGAUUAAUUUCUACAAAGGAAGGAAUGUAUGUAUUAUAUUAUAUACUUAUUUUCCCCCCAUCAGAAACUGAAGCAGUCUUCAUUUUCCUAUACAAUCUGUGAUCACAUUAACUGUACUGGCCAUUAUAUCAUUAGAUAUAAUGAUGGCCCCUGGCCCCAGCCCCAGUGAGGCCGAAAAGGUGGUUUGGAAUUAGUGCUCCAAUACAGUAGCUGGAGCUUCCUGGGGCUACAGGUUCCCAGUUGUCAGGAAAAUGAUCAAAAAUUUUUUGCUGCUUUUAAAAUUUUAUUGGUUUUUACAAUAUCUUAACAAUCUUAUUACAUCCAAUUAAACAAAUGUUGACUUCCCGCUCGCCAAUCUGUGUGAAUCACUAAUUAUACAAUUCAACCAUUGCUAUAGUAAUUCAAAACAUAUAUCCUAUACCUUACAGACUUGAUUUUACUCUACUCAACCUGCUAUUAUUACUAAAUUUCAAACUCUGCUGAAAAAUCAAUAUUAGAAAAAUAGUUCUUUAAGUAUAGUAAGAAUGGUUUCCAAUCUUCUUUAAAACAUUCCAGGUUUUCAUCUCUUAUCAGUACUGUAAGUUUUGCCAUCUCAACAUAUUGCAAAGUUUUUAUCAGCCAAUCUUCUUUUGAGGGCAUUUCAUUAUCCUUCCAUUUCUGUGCAUAUACUAUUCUAGCCACCGUGGUUGCAUACAUAAAGAUUGUUAAAUUCCUUCUGGAAAACUCUCCUUGCGUUAUUCCCAGCAGGAAGGAUUCUGGUUUCUUAGGAAAUGUCAUUUAAAAUUUUUUCUUCAACUCAUUAUAUAUCAUAUCCCAGAAAGCCUUUGCCUUCCCGCAAGACCACCACAUAUGAAAAAAAGUUCCCUCACAGUGUCCACAUUUCCAGCAUUUGUUUGGAACAUUUUUAUACAUUAAUGCUAAUUUUUUGGGUGUCAAAUACCACCUAUACAUCAUCUUAUAAUAAUUUUCUUUUAAGGUAUAACAUGCGGUAAACUUUAAAUCCAUUUUCCAUAAUUUUCCCCAAGCUGCCAUAUCUAUAUUGUGACCCAGAUCUUGAGCCCAUUUUAUCAUAGUCGUUUUGACCACUUCAUCUCUUGUCUCCUCCAGAAGCAGCAGCUUAUACAUCUUAGAAACUAAUUUUUCAUCAUUUUCACACAGCUCCUUCUCAAAUCUCGACAUUUGAUCCUCAAAUCCAACUUUAAGAUCCUUCUUAUAAAUUUCAUUUAACUGAUGGUAGCGAAACCAGUUACUAACCAGAUUUUGUACUUCAGUUAGAUUUUUUAACUUACAGCCCUUUUCUUGGAAACAUAACAAAUCCCUAUAGGUACCCCAAUGAGGCUGCAUAUUUAUCUCUUUAUGUGCUAAAGCUUCAAUUGGAGAUAGCCAUAAUGGAGUUUUAAAUUCCAACCAUUUUUUAUAUUUUACCCACACUCUCAUUAGACUCCUUCUCACAUAGUGAUUAAGAAAAUCUUUAUGCACUUUAGUUUUAUCAUACCACAAAUAAGAAUGCCAUCCAAACCUUCUAUCAAAUCCUUCCAGAUCAAGUAUUCUGGGAUUUCUUCAUGUUAUCCAUUCUUUUAACCAUGUCAAACAAACAGCAUCAAAAUACAACCUUAAAUCUGGUAGGGUAAGACCACCUCUUUCUUUAGCAUCUGUUAAAUUUUUAAAUUUAAUUCUUGGUCUUUUCCCUUGCCAAACAAAUUUGGUUAUGUUCUUUUGCCAUUGCUUGAAACAAGUUAAGGUGUUGAUUACAGGGAUAGUCUGAAAAAGAAAGAGCAUUUUAGGUAAAACAUUCAUCUUCACAACUGAAAUUCUUCCCAUUAAAGAUAAGUUCAUUCUAGUCCAUCUUUGCAAGUCAGUUUUUACUGUAUUCCAUAUUUUAAUAUAAUUAUUUGAAAACAACAAAGAGUUUUUGUUUGUCAACCAGACGCCCAAGUAUUUAAUUUUCUUCUCGACUUUCAGCUCACUUAUUUCAAAAAGUCUGUCUAGGAAAAUGAUCAAAAUUGAUAGACAAUCGGCCAAAUGGGGUGUGUGUGUGGGGGGUAAGCUCCCUACCAUGCUUUGCUAGUCCCCUGAGUUGCUCUGUGCCCCCCAAAAUCACCUCCAAAUCGACCAAAAAAUCACUGGGGUUUUUUCAUUCUUUAAGAAAACGGAGCCAUUUUGAGGCUCCGAAACACAAAAUGGCAUCCGGAAAUGACAUCUGCAGUCAUUUUCAGCCACCCCAACCUGCGAAUAUGCUAGAUUGGCAUGUUUUCCCCAUGUAUGCCAAAGUCGGGGUGUCUUUUACCAGACCACGGAUAUGCGAAUCCGUGGAUAAUGAAUCUGCGGAUAAGAAGGUCCUCCUCAUUAAAAUUUUAAAGACAGAACAUUACAUUCAGGCAGAAUCUGCAGGCACCACACAUGCACACACACAUGUACCCUCCCCAUUCUCUUCACUACCUGGGCACAGGUGAAUGUGACAAUCAGAAGCAGGAGGUGGGGGCCUCUUCAACCCAGUUGGCCAGAAAUGGGUAGAAUGGAUCGGGGGGAAGGGGGUUGUUGGCUGUGUGAACAAACCAAUGUUUGAAAUACCACAAUGAAACAUAAUCAACUGUAAUAAAAAGCAGCAACGUGAACAACCCCAAUUUACUUUGAUUUAUGCGUAUGUAUGCAUGUACACACUUAUAUGCGCUUAUGCUCUCAUCCUAACUUACCUCUUUUCCUCCCACAGUAAAGCCCCCAGUCUGGGAAACCUCCAGCUGGAUGGAGGCAUGUUGACAUUUAAGCUGGGAAAAGUAUAACUUGUGAAUGGUGGGAAUGCUUAUUAACUAAAGUGGGGAAAGAUUCCCAAGUGAUUGUUAAAGUGCUAUAAAUGCACGUGUAAUUUCAGCCUUUCUUUUCCUUCAAAGAACUGAGUGUAUUUUAGCAAUGGUUGUUUCCAAGCUGUCUCAAGGCUAGUUCAGCAGUGAAGAACUGCAUCAUGGGCUAUUUCCUAUUGUUUCUUCUCCAAAGACUGCUUUUUUAUAUACAGAAAUUUCUUCUUUGCUACAAUCUUCCUUCCUUCCUUCCUUCCUUUUAUCACCUCUCCCCACAGAUCUCACAGGCUGAUAGGUUAAGGUAGUGGCUGUUCACCAAGAAACAAGCCCAGUCUGAGAACCUUCCACCUACAAGAGAUGUAUUAUACCACGCAAUACUAUGAGCACAUCAUCAAGCAAUCAUUUGGAAUAAUGAUCCGACAGUGAAGCGUGUAAUCCCAUCACCUGAAAAAUACAUUUGGAAUAUGGAAGGGGAUGUCUGGAUACCAAUGACCAAUCAAUUCUUAGCUCCAAAGGCUGCACUUCAAUUGGUGAGGUGUGGAUGCACUAUCUCCAGAUGUCAGAGAGGAAGAUGCAGCUGUCAUAAAGCAGGGUUGAUCUGCUGCGACAUGUGUUCCUGUCCAUCUCAAAAUAGACAGAACUAAGAGGAUUCUUGUGACCACAUGAUGGAGAAUGAAAAUCCAGAGGAUGAGCUACAGGAAGAAGAUGACAAGUUCAUAUGCUGUAAUAUUAAUUAGGUGUAAGGUAGUUCCAUUUUUGUCCAAAAAACCAACCCCUUAUGCAAAACUUGUAGUAAAAGUCACUUAUGCAAAAUGUUUAUUAUCUAUAAUUUAAUUUUUCAUUAACAACUUUCACAGAUCAGCACGACAGUCAGAGAAGAUUCUUAGACUGUCAACAUGUUUUUUCUAAUUCUUUGAGGUAUUUUGAAGGGAACUGUGUGAUUUGCUUUAAUCACAAAAAUCCCAUGGCAUUAUGCAUGCUCCUGUACUAUGUGGCCUCUGUGGCUCGAAGUUUUUCAAACUGGCUUUUAGUUUGCAUCUCCUCUGGAAUGAAGGUGUGCAUUCACAUAUCGGCCAAAUUUACCUAAAGUCCCUGCAAGCUAUCAGGGAGCACUUCACACACAAUUUGGGUUUUUGAUGGUGCGUGUAGCCCCAUUUAUAUCCAGUAUUUUAAAAAUCCACUUUUUGCAUUGGUUUUUUGGGCAACUUUGAACUCACAGUAAAGCCUCACACAGAGAACCUGCAGUGAAGCCUGCUGUCUGGGAAAACUCUAGAGCACCUUUUAUCAGCUUUGGCUGAUACGCCAACUGUGACCUUACUUGGAUAAAGAUAGCUUGGCCACAAUUACUCGUGCUUUGGUAACCUCUUGCUUAGAUUUCUGCAAUGCAUUGUACAUGGGGCUGCCUUUGAAAACGGUCCGGAAACUGCAGCUGAUACAAAACAGGGCUGCAAGAUUAUUAUCUGGGACUAAGGUUGCCAUCUCCCCCAGAUUUCCCUGUAUUUACCAGAUUUUAAGCUUGUUCCCUGGCACCCGGUUAGCCCAUUCACUUGCCUGAAUUCCCAGCUUUCAUUUUUUUAAAAAAGCUGAGCUCUAGCACUUAUAGAAGCAGAGUGAAAGAGCAAAACCUGCAGUCUCUAUUCUGUUCAACCACUGGACUUCAAGAAAGGCAGCUGAAGCACAGGAGGCUGGCUGGGAGAGGUUCACUCACAAUAAGUAAUCCCCCUGAGGAAUGUUGCCUUUGUUUUUUGUCAGCAGAGGAUCACUACAGGGCAGUAAAGAGGAUAACCUGAUUUUGAUGUAAAUCACUGCCUAUCUGUAUAUUGUAAUGUUUAAGGUUUUUGGCUUUAUAGAGCAAUUCAUUCUAUGCAUGCCUACUUAAAAGUAAGUACCAUAGGUUUCAACCAGAUUUCCUCCCAAGUAAGUGUGUAUAGGAUUGCAGCCUUAACUGAAAUGUUCAGUGUAUUUUAAAAGUUCAGCUGCUAUUAAUAUCUCAAACUUAGUGUAGUCUUCAUUGAUUUUCUAUAGAUUUUUAAAAUUUUUUUGCUUUAAACCACCAUGAAUUCUCCCUGACCCCUACUCGUUUCCAGUCUACACUAGUAUUCCAAAUCACAAGGAGUCAUUUUGGUAUUAUAUUUUAUGUACUUAUCUCAGGAUGUAAAUUGUGACUAUGACAAGGCUUAAGCAUGAAAGCCUUAAUCCCUAGUGCUGGUUUUGUACGGUCAAUUGUAGAAUGUAGUGGUGAUGAAAAUGCACUCAGCACUGCUCCUCAGCAACAGAUUUGAUUUGGUAUCUUCACCAAUCUUAUCUAGCAUUUUCACCUUGACCAAUAAAGAACAUAUUUAAAUUAAACCAAUAAAUAGCAUAUUUAUAUACCAAUAAAUAACAUAGGUAUUGGAAAAUGGAGUCUGCAGUUUAUGUGGAAUCCAUGACAGGACUACACACAGCUAAUUAGAUGAGAUAAAAAUGGAACUUGUAUCUUAGAAAGUGUUGGGAUAUAAAGUCUGGUGUUUAAUGUUCAGGUAAAUGGUCAGGUAAAGAGAUCCUCCCCAACUAUUGCUGGUAGAUAUGCAGAGCAAAUACAAGUCAAUGGGACAGUGUGCAUCAGCUAAUGUGUAUAACAACAUGCAAAUUAGGGCACCCAGAUUUGGAGAGCUUGAAUAUGGCAACCCUAACUGGGACUGAAUGAUCAUAUUACGCUAGUGCUUUGUUAGCUGCACUGGCUCCCAGUCCAUUUCCAGGCCCAAUUCAAAGUCCUGGCUUCAGCCUUGGGACUGGGUAACCUGAGAGAGCACCUUGCCCCAUAUGUCCCAACUCAGACCUUAAGAUCUUUAGAGGUCCUGCUCCGAGUGCCCUUGCCAAAUGAGGUGAGGUGGGUGGCUACUAGGGAGAGGGCCUUUUCGGAGGUUACAGACCAUUUAUAGAAUAGACUCCCCAGUGAGUUUGCCUGGUUUCAUUACUUUGUUCUUUUAGAUGUCAGGUAAAUACCUCUUUGUUCACUCAGGCCUUUCAAUUUUUUUUUUAAAUUGAUUUUAAAAACUUAUUUUUAAAAAGUUUUAAAAUUGUUGUGUAUUGUACUUGGGUUUUGGGGUGUGUAUGUGUGUUGUGAUUUCAUGUGUUUUCAUGCAUUUUUACUUGAUGUUUUAAUGCUGUGUUGUGAGCUGCCCAGAGAACAAUGUGUUAUGGGGCAGCUAACAAAUAAACGUUUAUUUAAUUGUC